GGUGGUGCAUGGCCGUUCUUAGUUGGUGGAGUGAUUUGUCUGGUUAAUUCCGUUAACGAACGAGACCCCCGCCUGCUAAAUAGUCCGGUGAAUGAGUUUUCAUUGACCUGGUCUUCUUAGAGGGACUUUCGGUGACUAACCGAAGGAAGUUGGGGGCAAUAACAGGUCUGUGAUGCCCUUAGAUGAUCUGGGCCGCACGCGCGCUACACUGAUGCAUUCAACGAGUCUAGAACCUUGGCCGAGAGGCCUGGGUAAUCUUGUGAACGUGCAUCGUGAUAGGGAUUGAAUAUUGCAAAUUAUUAUUCAUGAACGAGGAAAUUCCUAGUAAACGCAGAUCAUCAAUCUGCAUUGAUUACGUCCCUGCCCUUUGUACACACCGCCCGUCGCACCUACCGAUUGAAUGGUCCGGUAAGCUUUCGGGAUUGCGGUCCGUUCCUUUACUGGGAUGUGGCUGUGAGAACUUGUCUAACCUAUCAUUAGAGGAAGGUAAGUGGACCAGC
rnacentral:rRNA from 1 species